CAGCAGCCGCGGUAAUACGAAGGGGGCUAGCGUUGCUCGGAAUGACUGGGCGUAAAGGGCGCGUAGGCGGAUUGUUUAGUUAGGCGUGAAAUUCCUGGGCUUAACCUGGGGACUGCGCUUAAUACAGGCAGUCUAGAGUGAGGAAGAGGGUUGUGGAAUUCCCAGUGUAGAGGUGAAAUUCGUAGAUAUUGGGAAGAACACCGGUGGCGAAGGCGGCGACCUGGUCCUUGAUUGACGCUGAGGCGCGAAAGCGUGGGGAGCAAACAGGAUUAGAUACCCGCGUAGUCCCUGUCUCUUAUAC
rnacentral:rRNA from 1 species